UACAGAGGUCCCGAGCGUCGUUCGGAUUCACUGGGCGUAAAGGGUGCGUAGGUGGCGAGGUAAGUCGGAUGUGAAAGCUCGGAGCUCAACUCCGAAAUGGCAUUGGAAACUACCUUGCUCGAGGGUUGGAGGGGGGACUGGAAUACUUGGUGUAGCAGUGAAAUGCGUAGAUAUCAAGUGGAACACCAGUGGCGAAGGCGAGUCCCUGGACAACUCCUGACACUGAGGCACGAAAGCUAGGGGAGCAAACAGG
rnacentral:rRNA from 1 species